AGAGUUUGAUCCUGGCUCAGAGUGAACGCUGGCGGUAGGCCUAACACAUGCAAGUCGAACGGCAGCACAGAGGAGCUUGCUCCUUGGGUGGCGAGUGGCGGACGGGUGAGGAAUACAUCGGAAUCUACUCUGUCGUGGGGGAUAACGUAGGGAAACUUACGCUAAUACCGCAUACGACCUACGGGUGAAAGCAGGGGACCUUCGGGCCUUGCGCGAUUGAAUGAGCCGAUGUCGGAUUAGCUAGUUGGCGGGGUAAAGGCCCACCAAGGCGACGAUCCGUAGCUGGUCUGAGAGGAUGAUCAGCCACACUGGAACUGAGACACGGUCCAGACUCCUACGGGAGGCAGCAGUGGGGAAUAUUGGACAAUGGGCGCAAGCCUGAUCCAGCCAUACCGCGUGGGUGAAGAAGGCCUUCGGGUUGUAAAGCCCUUUUGUUGGGAAAGAAAUCCAGCUGGCUAAUACCCGGUUGGGAUGACGGUACCCAAAGAAUAAGCACCGGCUAACUUCGUGCCAGCAGCCGCGGUAAUACGAAGGGUGCAAGCGUUACUCGGAAUUACUGGGCGUAAAGCGUGCGUAGGUGGUCGUUUAAGUCCGUUGUGAAAGCCCUGGGCUCAACCUGGGAACUGCAGUGGAUACUGGGCGACUAGAGUGUGGUAGAGGGUAGCGGAAUUCCUGGUGUAGCAGUGAAAUGCGUAGAGAUCAGGAGGAACAUCCAUGGCGAAGGCAGCUACCUGGACCAACACUGACACUGAGGCACGAAAGCGUG
rnacentral:rRNA from 1 species